rnacentral:rRNA from 1 species
GACGAACGCUGGCGGCGUGCUUAUCACAUGCAAGUCGAACGGAAAGGCCCUGCUUUUGUGGGGUGCUCGAGUGGCGAACGGGUGAGUAACACGUGAGUAACCUGCCCUUGACUUUGGGAUAACUUCAGGAAACUGGGGCUAAUACCGGAUAGGAGCUCCUGCUGCAUGAUGGGGGUUGGAAAGUUUCGGCGGUUGGGGAUGGACUCGCGGCUUAUCAGCUUGUUGGUGGGGUAGUGGCUUACCAAGGCUUUGACGGGUAGCCGGCCUGAGAGGGUGACCGGCCACAUUGGGACUGAGAUACGGCCCAGACGCCUACGGGAGGCAGCAGUGGGGAAUAUUGCACAAUGGGCGGAAGCCUGAUGCAGCAACGCCGCGUGCGGGAUGACGGCCUUCGGGUUGUAAACCGCUUUCGCCUGUGACGAAGCGUGAGUGACGGUAAUGGGUAAAGAAGCACCGGCUAACUACGUG